AUGGCCGCGUCUUGGAGCUCGCCGCCGUGGGCUGCGCGCCCCUUCGAUGACAGCCUUCCUCGCCCACGUCCAGGUCCUCUCAAUCCUAAUUUGACGAAUGGGAGCGGAAGCUGCAAUGUCAAGAUCCGCAAGCAGGACAUGAACCACCUUGCCAUGAAUUUCCUCGUCACAUUAGGAUUCAUCGACGCCACCAACAGUUACUAUCAUUGGAAGUGCCAGACAGAUCUCGCCGUCAAGAGUAGCGCUGCAGGGUCAUUCACCUGGUUGGCCUCUUAUGUAACUGGUGUUGUUGUGUCCAUGUGGAAGGAGAGCCCGCUUCUCCGGGACGCCGGCGCUGACAUGCUCACCGUAGGUGACGUCAUGGCAGUGCUCGACUUCAGGGAGGAGGUCGGCAACCACCACUUCUUGGACCAACGUAAAAAUGUCAUAAAUACAGUCACAAACCCAUCAGAUCUAUGCUAUGGAUGCCGUGGUGAUUGCUGGAACGGAGGGUUCCUGGGAUGA
rnacentral:rRNA from 1 species